AGGACGAACGCUGGCGGCGUGCUUAACACAUGCAAGUCGAGCGGAAAGGCCCUUCGGGGUACUCGAGCGGCGGAACGGGUGAGUAACACGUGAGCAAUCUCGCCCCUAGCUUCGGGAUAGCUCCGGGAAACCGGAAUUAAUACCGAAUACGACGACGGCCGACAUCGGCUGUUGUGGUAAAGUUUUCGGCUAGGGAUGAGCUCGCGGCCUAUCAGCUUGUUGGUGAGGUAACGGCUCACCAAGGCGACGACGGGUA
rnacentral:rRNA from 1 species